rnacentral:lncRNA from 1 species
GGCCUUUCUUUUCAAAGCUUUAGUUUUAUAAAAAUAAAUUAAAUUUCUCUAAGGAGCAAUAAGGUGCAUCAUGAUGAGUCAUGAGAUAGUGAUAGUGACACUGAUUCUCGGCUGAGAUCAAGGAAAACUCGCUGAAACCCAAUAAUCAAGAAAAGAAAGGACAGAAAAACUAUUCUAAAAACGUGAGUUCCUCGUGAGGCUCAAAUUUUCCCUUUUAACAUAAACAAAAUGAGUGAGUGGGAGUGAUCAUUCCAAUUUCCCAGUUGAUUCACAUAGCGAAUGAGGUUAAUCAUAAAAUGGAAUAAAAUAAAUGCAAAUUAAUAAGGUUGUAUUAUGUGAGAGGGUGAGGGAGCUCGAAGAAAGUGAAAAGACGCAAAAAUUGAGAAAGUGGGACGCAGAAGGCGGCGAAAGAAUUGCAGAGUUGGUGACUUGGUGCAGAGGACCAAUGCAGAUAGCACUAAGCAGAGAAAGAGAGAGAAAGAGAGAGAGAGUGAGUGAGAGGUGAGAGAAACAACGAAAGAAGAUAUUGGAUGUUGCUUUGUA